rnacentral:ncRNA from 1 species
UUCAAGUGGGAAUAAUUUUUGUACUAUACCCUUGCCGAAAGAUUUGGUUCCGACAAUCUUAGCCCUGCCCCUAUCCUUAAAGGCUCCAGCUAAAAUUUCAGAAGCAGAUGCUGAAUUUUCAUUAAUAAGGACUGUCAUUGGUAUAUCAUCCUUAUUGGAAUCAGAUUUUUCUGUAAUUACAUUGCCGUUUUUAUCUUCAGUAGUAACUAUGACUCCUUCAUCAAGGAAAGUAUCGGCAAUGUCAAGGCACACAUCAAGGGCUCCUCCUGGAUUGUUACGCA